rnacentral:lncRNA from 1 species
UUUUUUUAUCAAUAAAAGAAUUAUGUUUUCUUCUUAUUUUUCCAUAGUUUGGUGUCUCGCCUUUAUUUAGUACAAUUGACAAAUGAAAAAAUGCGGAUGAAAAUAUUUAUGAAUAAUUUUAUCAUCUAUCUCUUAUAUUUAAUUUUUAUAUAUAAUAAUUUUUUUAUAAUUGACCAAACAACACAAUUAUUUAAAAGAAAAAGUAAAAAAGAAAUUGAAAAGGGGUAAGAUUGGCUAAAGUGGAAAGAGAGACGAAAAUGAUUUUUUUUUUGGUAACGAAAAUGAUUUUUAGAUUGGCUAAAGUUGAUAUAGGAAUAUCCACUUCUAUAGUGGAAAGAGAGGCGAAAAUGGUUUUGCCGUAGGAAUAGCGAA